rnacentral:rRNA from 1 species
AGAGUUUGAUCAUGGCUCAGAGCGAACGUUAGCGGCGGGCCUAACACAUGCAAGUCGAACGCGAAAGGGAUUCGUCCCCGGUAGCGUGGCGUCCGGGUGAGUAACACGUAGGAAAUCUUCCCUCGAGCGGGGGAUAACGUCCCGAAAGGGACGCUAAUACCGCAUAAGCCCACGUCCGCCUCGGCGGAUGAGGGAAAAGCUGGCCACUGUAUACAAGCUAGCACUUGAGGAUGAUCCUGCGGCGCAUCAGCUAGUUGGUGAGGUAAUGGUUCACCAAGGCUUAGACGCGUAGCUGGUCUGAGAGGAUGAUCAGCCACACUGGCACUGAAACACGGGCCAGACUCCUACGGGAGGCAGCAGUGGGGAAUAUUGGACAAUGGGCGCAAGCCUGAUCCAGCCACGCCGCGUGAGUGAUGAAGGCCUUCGGGUUGUAAAGCUCUGUGGGGAGGGACGAAAACGGCACUCAAGAAACGGGGUGUCCUUGACGGUACCUCCUAGCAGA